ensembl:snRNA U6 U6 spliceosomal RNA
GCCUGUUUGUUUUCUUGUCUCUGUCUGUCUUGGAAUGAUAGAGACAAGCUUAGCAUGGCCUCUGCACAAGGAUGACAUGCAAAUUUGGGAAGGGUUCCAUAUUUCU